AACUAACCCGGACGAAAGUCGGACUAAUACCGUAUGAUAUCCUAUNGCAGGCAUCUAACUAGGAUUAAAGGUUUAGCGGUAAGGGAUGGGGAUGCGUCUGAUUAGGCAGUUGGCGGGGUAACGGCCCACCAAACCGACGAUCAGUAGGGGUUCUGAGAGGAAGGUCCCCCACAUUGGAACUGAGACACGGUCCAAACUCCUACGGGAGGCAGCGUU
rnacentral:rRNA from 1 species